UUUGCGUUGACGACCCGCCCUCUUUUGCCUUGUGUGUUGUAGACGUGGGUCUAUCUUCCGGUUGGUGGCUGUUCCACUUUAUUGGGGCGCAGUUCGCGAUCCGGAUCGCUUACUUUGAAAAAAUUCGAGUGUCCAUAGCUGGCUUACUCCGUGAAGAUCGCAUCAUGGAAUAAUAACAUAGGACUUGGCGUUCUAUUUGUUGGUUUUGGGACCUAAGUAAUGAUUGAUAGGUACAGUUGGGGUUGCUGCUAUAGACUGGCCAGAGGUGAAAUUUCUAAGACUCAGUCUAUAGCAUCU
rnacentral:rRNA from 1 species